UAUCGAUUCUUAAGAUUGAUGUAAAUAUGGCCACCGACAAAUUUCAACCAUCAUCUUUCCUGAUCAAUUCGGAUAAAAUUUACAAAAAAAAAAAAACAAAUGGUAAAAUAGUUUUAGACGUGUUGAUUACAUUGUGCUCACGAAUAUUAUCAUCCUUUAAAAGAUCAAAUAAAAUUAGUCAAUAGCAUAUUAUUAAACCCGACCUUAAUGUUACAAUAUAUAUCCUUACGACCCAAUUUAAAUAUAAAAACACUCCUACAAACUUUAAAGAACACGCUAGCAUAUGCGAGAGAAUAAUAAUCCACUUUAUUCUUGUGAACAAACACUCAGUCUUGUCCUAGGGAUUGUGCCUGCAUAUAAUUCAUAAAAGAGAGAAACACGUAGAAAAAAUGGGGUGAGAUAACAAUUUCAAUGAAUAAAAACAAACACACAAAUAUACAUUCAAAACACAAAACUAUCAAAGGUGUACAUAUAAUUGUACAAGAGGACGUGGUUAGCAAAAGAGCCACACAAUUCUAGGUGAACUUAAGUACAUCACACAUUCACUAAUAUGAUAUUGUUGUUUCUAAAUUCCUCCAACCAUUAAUUUAUUAAGUCAUUUUAAUGCCCAAAUUUGGGUUCCCACUCUUAAUUAGAAAUUUUCACAUAAUAACAGGAGCUACACCAAGGUUUUAUUUUUAAAUUUUAACUAUCAUUAUAUACCUUAAAUUAAAGUGUAAAACUCAAUCAUUUACUCUCAUCAAUUGAAUUCUAUAACUCAAUUAUAAAAGUAAUAAUAUUACGAUGAACUAAGAAAAUGGAAGGAAAUAAUAGCAAAAUAUUAAAAAUAUUAUAAUAGAGAUAUAAGAGUAACAAACAUUAUGAUGGUCUGACUUCUACAAUAACCUUCAAAACAUAUCAUUGUUACAGGAACAGUAGACGGAUAUUUUUUAUAGCAUNNN
rnacentral:lncRNA from 1 species